ACAACCAUGAGGGAUUUAUACAUCUUGUGUAGUACUCCAGCUACUGCAGCUGUUACAGGAUAAGGGGAAGCCACAGUUUGAGGAGGGGAGGGCACACUGCUUUCCGUAUUUCAGGCUACCUAAGAAUUCAAGCAGGAAUGCAAGGAAUCUCCAGAAUAUGACAGAGGAAAACAAUGCACAUCGAUAGAUGUCCUAUGAGCAUAUAUGGCCCAUUGCAAAGUUGAGACAUUGAUGAAAGGGACAGGUCAUUAUUUUCCGUAUCCUCAGUGAAUGAUGGGCUUCUCUGUUGAUACAAGUUUUGACAUGUCAGCCUUCUUCUGUUUACUGUUACAGAUUGCUAAUGUUUUAUAUGGUCGCGUAGUUCAAUAAUGUGAUGGACUUCUGCAAAGUUACUGCUGUCACUUUUGCUGAUGCUGUUGUAUCCUCACUGAUGCCAUACACUGUAGGCACUCAUCUUGGUCAUAAUCCAGAGUGUUCUCCCAUAGGUUUAUUGCAAGUCGUGAGCACUACCUGUGAUACGCAUUUCCCGCUAUCUUACUCAAGAGGGCUGAGCUGAGAUGCUCGUUUCAACUGCUUAAGUUAUUUUCUCUUUACCUAGUGCUCAUGCAGGUCAUACAUUUUUGCCGCCAAUCCUUUUCCACAAUUAGAAAAGAAGAGGGUACAGAGGUUUCUCUACUUCAGGCUACCUAACAGGUCAAGCAGGAAUGUCAAGAAUCUGCUGCAUAUGAGGAAAAUACAGACAGUUCAAGGACUAGGGACUUUGAUAUGAAAGUUGCAGUGGGCACUAGGGUUCAGGGAAGUGCCCCCAUUCCCUUUUUCCCUUCCCUCACAGUACAUUUGGAGUACCAUGACUGGAGGACACAGGACAACAUUGCACAUCCACAGAUGUCAUACGAGCAUACAUGGCCCACUGGCAAAUGUCAGGCAUGAAUGAUGGGGACAGGUUGUUAUUUUCCAUUUUCCCAGUGUGUGGUGGACUUGUCUGUUGGUGAAGGCAUUGCUGCCUCAGCCUUCUUCUGUGUAUUACUUUAGGCCUGUAAAAAAUGGCCACAGAGGUAGGUGACCCUUCACUCAAUUAUACUGUUACAUAGUACUAUAAUGUGGAGAACUUCUGCAAAGUUACUACUGUUGCUUUUGCUGAUGCUGUUGUAUCCACACGAAUGGGAUGCACUGUAUGCCCUCAUCUUGGUCAUAAUCCAGGGUGUUCUCCAAUAGCUUUAUUUCAAGUCUUGAGCACUGCCUCUGAUACGCAUUUCCCGCUAUCAUUCUCAGGAGGGCUGAGCUGAGAUGCUGGUUUCAACUGCUUAAGUUAUUUUCUCUUUACUUAGUUCUCAUGCAGGCCAAACAUUUUUGCUGUCAAUCCUUUUCCACAAUUUGAGCAGGGGAGGGCACAGGGUUUCCCUGCUUCAGGCUACCUAACAGGUCAAGCAGACAUGUCAAGAAUCUCCUGCAUAUGAGGAAAAUACAGACAGUUCAGAGGACUAGGGACUUUGAUGUGAUAGUUACAGUGGGCAUUAGGGUUCAGCGAAGUGCCUCCUGUCCCUUUUCCUCUUCCCUGACAGUACCUUUGGAGCAACAUGGCUGGAGGACACAGGACAACAAUGCAUAUCGACCGAUGUGACAUGAACAUACAUGGCCCAGUGGCAAACAUCAGAAAUGGAUGAUGGGGACAGAUUCUUAUUUUCCCUUUUUCCGGUGACUGGUGGGCUUGUCUGCUGGUGAAGGCGUUGUGCCUCAGCCUUCUUCUGUUUAUUGCUUUAGGCCUUUGAAAAAUGGCUACAGACGUACGAGGCCAUUCACCCUAUUAUAUUGUAAUAUAAUACUAUAAUGUGGAGGACUUCUGAAAAGUUACUGCUGUUGCUUUUGCUGAUGCUUUUGUAUCCUCAUCGAUGCAAUGCACUGUGUGCCUUCAUCUUGGUGAUAAUCCAGGGUGUUUUCCCAUAGCUUCAUUGCAAUCUUGAGCACUGCCUGUGAUAUGCAUUUCCCGCUAUCUUUCUCAGGAGGGCUAAGCUGAGAUGUUGGUUUCAACUGCUUAAGUUAUUUUCUCUUUACCUAGUUCUCAUGCAGGCCAUACAUUUUUGCAGCCAAUCCUUUUCCACAAUGUAAGAAGAGGAGGGCACAGGGGAUUUCCCUAGUUCAGGCUACCUAACAGGUCAAGCAGGAAUGUCAAGAAUCUCCUGCAUAUGAGGAAAAUACAGACAGUUCAGAAGACAAGGGUAUUUGAUGGGAAAGUUGCAGAGGGCAUUAGGGUUCAGCGAAGUGCCUCCUGUCCCGUAUCCCCUGACCUUACAGUACCUUUGGAGCAGCAUGGCUAGAGGACACAGGACAACAAUGCAUAUCGACUGAUGUGAUAUGAGCAUACAUGGUCUACUGGCAAACGUCACACAUGGAUGAUGGGGACAGGUUGUUAUUUUCCGUUUUCCCAGUGAGUGGUGGCCUUGUCUGUUGGUGAAGGCGUUGCUGCCUCAGCCUUCUUCUGUGUAUUGCUUUAAGCCUGUGAAAAAUGGCCACAGAGGUAGGUGGCGCUUCUCCCUCUUAUAUUGUUACAUAGUGCUAUAAUGUGGAGGACUUCUGCAAAGUUACUGUUGUUACUUUUGCUGAUGCUGUUGUAUCCUCACUGAUAGGCUGUAUACCCUCAUCUUGUUAAUAAUCCAGGGUGUUCUCUUGUAGCUUUAUUGGCAUUCUGGACACUGCCUGUGAUGUGCAUUUCCUUCUAUGUUUCUCAGGAGGGCUGAGCUGAGGUUCUAGUUUCAACUGCUUAAGUUUCCUCUUUACCUUGUUCUCAUGCCUGCCAAUUAUUUUGGCUGCCUGUCCCCUUUUAUUCAUGAUUGUAAAAUUGGCAAGAGGCUUACUUAGCUUUCAAAAAGAUUUGCAUGCUUUGCAAAGAAGCAGAGGAAGAAUUUACAAGUUUUCCAAAGUAAAUCUUCUUAAAAAAGGGAAUUGUUAGGUCUAUUCUUUUUUCACCAGGGAGAUUUAAACUUUUAUUUCUUAUUUUCCUUUGUAUUUGCCCUUUCAACAUGCUGCCAUGUGAUACCAGUUCCCCCAAUUUGCCCUUCACAAUGAUGACUCCUGUGUCCUUGCUCAAGCCAGGCAUGUGCAGAGAAGUUCCUCAUGUGGGACUUGUGCAAACAGGACCUCAAGGACAAAUAAUAAUUAUGAGCACUUGCCCAUUUUCUAGCCUGUGCAUGCUUUUACCCAUACCAGUGUUUUUAUGAAGGGUUCUUUAUAACCAGUUGGAGUAAGGAAUCAAACCAUUAGCCUUGUUUACAGAUGGCUUAAAUUGACAUGUUGAUGUCAAUGGUCUGUUGACAAGUGGGGCUGUACAAUUUAUCUCAUAUCCUCCUGUCCUUGAGUCCUAAAUGAGCAGAGGUUUGGUUUCCUGUAGUAGACAGACAUUUACUUUGUAUGACUUGUUAUAUCCACCACCUGAUAGAAUUUUUGGCUGUAGAUGAGGACCCAGUUCCUCUCUUCUGGAUAUUUAGUGCAUGGGCCUCUCCAAAAGGUAUGAAAGAAUGUGCAAAAUGUAUGCACUCCCAUACAGUUUGAAUCAGUUCCUCCAGAUCCCUCUGGAUUGGAGUUUGUCCUCUCAGCCCAUUGUGCUGACUCCAGUCAUGCAGUAUAUGGAUUGCUGACAGCUGCCAGGGUGGCCACCCAACAGUUUAGAUUUGUGUUGGUCUUCUGAGCUUUCUUUGUACCUUCGUAUUCACAUGCAAACCUAGUGUAGUGCUGCUUAAUUUGAGAAAAGAAUAGCAGUGGGCUGUAUUCAGUGAAUCCUAGUGGGAUUCAUGGAUUUUCCCAGUCUCCCCAUCAGUCAGACAUGAUGCCUUACAGAAUGCUAGAAAGGCCUGUUGUAGACUCCACUCCAGUGUCAGCUUGGACUACUAGUUCUGCAGUCAACAUGCUGAUCUACAGGAUGUGGAAUAUAAUUUAAGCCAGAAAACAAGCACCUGUGCUUCUCCAAAGUCCAGAAAUGGUGGAUCUGGGAACCUGGGGUUAGAGGUAAGCAUAGAACUUUUUAUGAUUACAGAUGAAUUCUCCUCACCAAAUGUUUUUAGAUUUUAGAACGCAAGGAAAGGAGAAUGGUUCUC
rnacentral:lncRNA from 1 species